CUGGGGCCAAGCACAAAGCAGCUUCCCAGUAAAUACAAAGAGUUCAACUCCACUGAUCGAGAAGACUCAGGGCCUCAUGGCCUUGCUUUGCACCCCCGCCCCUCUGACUGCAGGGGGCUUGUGUCUUCUGGUGUCUUUGACUCAGUGGGGCAUGAAGCACAGAGCUCAAGGCUGGUGGGGGCCCCUCUGCAGGCAGGAUGUAGGGCAGCUUCAUGAGGCUGGGUUCCUGGGCGGCUUUGUCUCCAGAUCUCCAUCCCUGAGGUACACAGGUGAGGCAUGGCAGGCUACCGUGUGGGCCCAAAGUCUCCAGCCCUUGGCUGCUCCCUCUCCUCACUUGCAGAGGCUGGGCGAUGCCAGGUGCCAUCGCUGCUUGCAGUUGCCCCUGCAGCCCGUGAGCUGGCAGAAGGCUGGCUCUGUCAAAAUUAGCCCCAAAGGUAGAAGUACAAGAAACAAAUGGCCAGAAAGAAGAGGAAUAGCUGCUCAGUGCUCACGGAGAAUCCCGUCUGCCUUCAGCUGAGUAGCUGUGUCCUAUAGCCCCUGGGUGCUGGGGCUGAGUAGGCUCCUCUUGCCCUACACCUGUUCUGCUUCCUCAGGUAGGUCUCCAGCUUGAGGCCACUCAGCUGCUAGGCACCUUUCCAUUCCCCAGGAAAUGCUGGAAGUAGGUCUGUAGACAAAGAGACCUGCCCCUGUUGCUCAGCCUCCUCUGGUGGCAUUGUGAUGCUGGCCUGACUGCCAUUAUGAUGGCCGCUGGGUGGGGGUGGGGCUGCUUCGGGCAGGGCCCCUCACGCAGAACUCUCAUGGGCAUCAUGAACCAGCUCCCUCCCUAGGCCUGCUGUUACCUGGCCCAGUCUCCCAGCCAGCAUCUUCCCUCCAUUCUGGGCAGGGGAGGGUCUAGGCUGGGAAUUGGCCAAAGCUGUGCUGUCCAGUGUAGUGGCUUCUAGCCACAUGUGGUUCUUGACUUAAAAGCAAAUAUAAUGUAAGACUCAGUUCCUAGUCCUGCCAGCCACAUUUCUACAGUAGUCACAUGUGGGUGUGUAUUGGACUACGCAGACAAUGACCAGUUCCACCACAGGAAGUUCCACUGGCCAGUGCUAGAUCAAAUAGGAACUUGGCACUGCCUUGGGUGGCACCCCCUGACCUACACUCCCUUCCAUACCAAGAGCUGCCAAGAGUGACCCUGCCACUCUUGAUGACCCAAAGGAUGACACAGUUUCCCACUGGCGCAGAGAUAAGAAGAUGAAGGAGGAACAAAGCCUUGGGGUGGUGGGAUUCCAGUCCAAGCAUCCUCUGGAAAGAUGUGUAAAGAAUUCCUGCCUCUGGGUGUGGUGACACACCUGUAGCCCCUGGGGGGCUAAGGAAGGAGGAUCACUUGAGACCAGAAAUUUGAAGCCAAACCCAAGGAACAGACAAACAGGCAGAGACCCUGUCUUUAAAGAAAAAAGAAAAGAAAAAAAAAGAAAGAAUUCCUGCCCUACCAGCAAGUAGGUUGGGCUGCCAGGGCUGGUCCUUGUAGGACCCAGGAGCCAUCAGCCUGCACGGAGGGGCCAGCUGUAUCCAGCCUGUGGACCCAAGAACAAAUGACUUACACAUAUGUGAUUUUCAUGUGUUAUCCAGGAGGUCAUGGAGACCUGGAAGGCCAAGCAUAUUAAAAAUGCUUGCAUUUAAAAGCUGGGUGUGGUAGUGUAAUCCUAGCACUUGGCUGAAGCAGGAGGAUUGCUGUGAGUUCAAGGCCAGCCUGAACUACUAUAGCAAGACCCCAUCUCAAAAAAUAAAGUUUGCAUUCAAACUUUUUUUUUUUUUUUUGGUACCGGGGAUCAGUCUUGGGUCAUUGUGCUUGCGCAGCAGGUGGCGAAACCACUGAGCUAAAUCCCCAGCCCUGCAUUCAAACUUUUAAAAAGGGACUGGGGUGUAGCUCAGUGUCAGAGUGCUUGCUUAACCAUGCAUGAAGAUCUGGAUUCAAUUCCCAGUACCUCAACAACAACAAAAACUAAAAACAGAAGGAGAAGAGAAGGAGAAUGAGAGGAAAAGUUCCUACAUGUUGAGCACAAUCCACAUAACUGGGGUUAGAAGGAAACUGAAACUCAUUAAGUGAGGAGCUGAUGUGACUGGCUGCAUUCUGUAGUUGAGCCCACUGGCCAAAGAACCUGGGGAACCUUUUCACUUGAGUCCAGAUCCACCACACAGAAUGGGAAGCACAGCAGUCUCUGAGUGGAGCACCAACCUCAUGACCAAGUGGCCUUGGAAAACUCACUAUUAUUAUACCUCGGCACAAAAAGCAGACACUUCUCUAAAUAAAGGCUCUCAGAGCUGCCUUCGCAGGAGGGUGCAGCUCCUGGCUCCUUGAUCAAUUAGAACAGGAAAGUAGCCCUCAGGUGCAGCUUCUGGAAGAGAAAGGGAAGGCCUUUCUGCUGCAGGGGCCGGGGGAGUGCAGGGAACAGGAUCCUGCGAGGUGUGUGAUGCAUGUGACUGAAGGAGAUCAAGUCUGAAGCAAACUGGGAGAUUGGGAAGCUGUGUGGGGGUCAGUACCAAAUAUGCUCAGAGUGAUCCAGGCAGAGUGGGAAGGCACAAGGGACAGUCCCAGGAAGACAUCAAGUAUUGGAAGGGUGGCUGGGACCACUGAAACCCCUCUCAACUGGUGGAGAGGAUUGGGCUUGAAAAUGGGAGGAACAGACCUGGGUGUGGCUGCAUAUACCUGUGAGGCUGAAGCAGGAGGAUUCCAAAUUCAAGGCCAGCUCAGGCACAUAGCAAGAC
rnacentral:tRNA from 1 species